GUAGGUGAACCUGCGGAAGGAUCAUUCAUAAUAAGUGUUCUACUGCACUUUUUAAAAAUAGUACUCACCUUGUGUGCAAUGUUGUGUGAAUUUCACACCUACACCAACCUUCAAUUUGAACCACUUUGUCUGAAAAACUAUUAUGAAUACUUAAUUCAAAAUACAACUUUCAACAACGGAUCUCUUGGCUCUC
rnacentral:misc_RNA from 1 species